GAUGAACGCUAGCUACAGGCUUAACACAUGCAAGUCGAGGGGAAACGACAUCGAAAGCUUGCUUUUGAUGGGCGUCGACCGGCGCACGGGUGAGUAACGCGUAUCCAACCUGCCCACCACUUGGGGAUAACCUUGCGAAAGUAAGACUAAUACCCAAUGAUAUCUCUAGAAGACAUCUGAAAGAGAUUAAAGAUUUAUCGGUGAUGGAUGGGGAUGCGUCUGAUUAGCUUGUUGGCGGGGUAACGGCCCACCAAGGCUACGAUCAGUAGGGGUGCUGAGAGGAAGGUCCCCCACAGUGGAACUAAGACACGGGCCAAACUCCUACGGGAGGCAGCAGUGAGGAAUAUUGGUCAAGGGACGGAAGUCUGAACCAGCCAAGUAGCGUGCAGGAUGACGGCCCUAUGGGUUGUAAACUGCUUUUAUAAGGGAAUAAAGUGAGUCUCGUGAGACUUUUUGCAUGUACCUUAUGAAUAAGGACCGGCUAAUUCCGUGCCAGCCGCCGCGGUAA
rnacentral:rRNA from 1 species